GACGAACGCUGGCGGCGUGCCUAAUACAUGCAAGUAGGACGCAGUUGCGAACGGGUGAGUAACGCGUAGGUAACUGCCUCUUAGCGGGGGAUAACUAUUGGAAACGAUAGCUAAUACCGCAUACUAGUAGAUGGACCUGCGUUAUAUUAGGUAGUAGGUAGGGUAAUGGGCUACCUAGGCAACGAUACAUAGCCGACCUGAGAGGGUGAAGGGCGAAAAUGGGACUGAGACACGGCCCAGACUCAUAAGGGAGGAAGCAGUAGGGAAACUUCGGGAAUGGGGGGAAACAUGACAGAGCAACGCCGAGUGAGUGAAGAAGGUUUUAGGAUAGAAAAGCUCUGUUGUUAAGGAAGCGGUACUUAACCAGAAAGGGACGGCUAACUACGUGCCAGCAGCCGCGGUAAUAC
rnacentral:rRNA from 1 species